rnacentral:rRNA from 1 species
UGCGUAGGCGGCUGAUUAAGUCGGAUGUGAAAUCCCUGAGCUUAACUUAGGAAUUGCAUUCGAUACUGGUCAGCUAGAGUAUGGGAGAGGAUGGUAGAAUUCCAGGUGUAGCGGCGAAAUGCGUAGAGAUCUGGAGGAAUACCGAUGGCGAAGGCAAUCCCCUGGGCCUGUACUGACGCUCAUGCAAAGCUGGGGAGCGAAACAG